rnacentral:rRNA from 1 species
CCUACGGGGGGCAGCAGUGGGGAAUAUUGCACAAUGGGGGAAACCCUGAUCCAGCGACGCCGCGUGAGUGAAGAAGUAUUUCGGUACGUAAAGCUCUAUCAGCAGGGAAGAAAAUGACGGUACCUGACUAAGAAGCCCCGGCUAACUACGUGCCAGCAGCCGCGGUAAUACGUAGGGAGCAAGCGUUAUCCGGAUUUACUGGGUGUAAAGGGAGCGUAGACGGCAGCGCAAGUCUGGGGUGAAAUCCCAUGGCUUAACCAUGGAACUGCUUUGGAAACUGUACAGCGAGAGUGCAGGAGAGGUAAGCGGAAUUCCUAGUGUAGCGGUGAAAUGCGUAGAUAUUAGGAGGAACACCAGUGGCGAAGGCGGCUUACUGGACUGUAACUGACGUUGAGGCUCGAAAGCGUGGGGAGCAAACAGGAUUAGAUACCCCUGUAGUC